GCCUCUAUCGUAUAAUGGCUAUUACGGUAAUCUUGUAAAUUACAUACGGAAGUUCGAUUCUUUCUGGAGGCA